GUUACUCUGGUAUUGCAUAAAUUAAAAUUGGAACAACACAGAGAAGAUGAGCAUGGUCCCUUACGCAAAGAUGACAUGCAAAUUCAACUAAUGGUUGAAAUAAGG